GACGAACGCUGGCGGCGUGCUUAACACAUGCAAGUCGAACGGAAAGGCCCUGCUUUUGUGGGGUGCUCGAGUGGCGAACGGGUGAGUAACACGUGAGUAACCUGCCCUUGACUUUGGGAUAACUUCAGGAAACUGGGGCUAAUACCGGAUAGGAGCUCCUGCUGCAUGGUGGGGGUUGGAAAGUUUCGGCGGUUGGGGAUGGACUCGCGGCUUAUCAGCUUGUUGGUGGGGUAGUGGCUUACCAAGGCUUUGACGGGUAGCCGGCCUGAGAGGGUGACCGGCCACAUGGGGACUGAGGGACGGCCCAGACUCCAACGGGAGGCAGCAGUGGGGAAUAUUGCACAAUGGGCGGAAGCCUGAUGCAGCAACGCCGCGUGCGGGAUGACGGCCUUCGGGUUGUAAACCGCUUUCGCCUGUGACGAAGCGUGAGUGACGGUAAUGGGUAAAGAAGCACCGGCUAACUACGUG
rnacentral:rRNA from 1 species